rnacentral:tRNA from 1 species
GGCAGUAGCUCAGUUGGAUAGAGUGUUUGACUACGAAUCAAAAGGUCGGGGGUUCGAGUCCCUUCUGCC